rnacentral:lncRNA from 1 species
CGCGGUUUCAGGUGAAAAAUAGAAAAAUAAUCCUACUUGCCCUGCCAAAAAUUGUCUAUACCAUUUUUUUUUGAGUUUUCACGGUAUGGUUUUAGGGAUUAUAUUCUUCUCGCCGGACUUUUAACAAGUUGAUUUUGGCCGUCUUUUUUUGCCGGAAUCCUCCAAUCUGAGUUUCUUAUCCUUGCUGUUCAGGUGCGUUUUGGGGGUGAGCAUAAGAAUGGACCAAAAUCAUAACCUCCCAUCAUAAAUCCUUUGCAUUUCAGUCCUUAGACAUUGAAACCUAAUAUCUCUAAUAUCUGAAAUAUCCCAUUGCAUUUCAGUCCUUAGACCUUGAAACCUAACAUUUCCAACAUCUGAACACCUUGAGACUUAACAUUUCCAAUAUCUAAAAUACCCUAAACAGAUACCGAAAAAGAACAAGAGAGAGAGUUGGGGGUGUUUUGUAAUUUCAAAUAGUGAGAAAGGAAGAGAUGUAACGAAUGUUACCCAGAAGAGCA